CAAAAUCACAGAACAUCAGGGACUGGAAGAGACCUUGAUUGAUCAUCUAGUCCAAUCCCCCUGCUAGAGCAGGAACACCUACAUUGGGUCACACAGGAACAUGUCCAGUGAGUGGGAAAGAUAUAUCUAGUUGUUUGAAGUCAAGACCAUAACAAAGAAUGCAAUGUGAAAUCCUACAGAAGUGAUUUGCACCACAUUUUGUGUUUGAGAGCCACGGUCUGAGGAGAAGCGGUGAGAAAUCAGAGCAAAGCGCUGACCUGGCUUGUGUGCCAGCUGAGCUCCUGUUUUCCACAUCAUAUGGCCACGUCCUGAGGACCAGAUAAAUAGCAGUCAGAAGCUGGAUGCAGGCAUCUGCUGGUCCUUUGUGAGGCCUCCCUUGGCCCAGUGGGUCCCUUCUCAGGACACUAGGAGUUCAAUUGCUCC
ensembl:lncRNA